GCGGUCCGGGGCCGCCGCUGCAGCAUCUGUGCGCUGCAGCUGGCCCAAAUGGACCUAGACUAUAAUGGGAGCGGCGCUUGCCCUCCCUGGCAGUUGCAGGUGUGAGCAUGCUCCCAGCGGUCUGGUGCUCAUGUAUGAUACUGCACACAAAC
rnacentral:scRNA from 1 species